rnacentral:lncRNA from 1 species
AGAAGAGUCAACACAGCUCAGAGAUUGACAGUGACUGCUCUGCUUUUGUGAUACCAGCGACAGAACUCUGCAAACAUCUCUGCUUCGCAGCUGGCAUCCUGUUGGAUUUUUCCAGUAGAGGGAAGCUUCCAUGCUGCAGGAAGAAGGGGCGUGCUCCUUCCCGUUCCUGUCAGCACUGCUGCAGCAGUUUGCUCUCACAGCUGCAUGUGAUCCCAGCUGCCAUUUCUGACCUGCUCAGAACCAGCUUCAUGAUGGGCUCAAAGACCCAGGACCAGGUGCUCUUGUGACUUCUCUGACUUCAGUCCUUCUGGAGUCAGAUCACCCAGCUUCUCUGAUGAGUGACUGGUCAUUUUUAAAGCAUGCCUGCAGCAGUCUUCAAGAGGUUUCUGCCUGGGCAUCACAAUCAGCACACAUUUGCUCAUACACAUACCAGCUCUGGCAUGUACACGUGGCCACGGUACCCUUCGUACAACACGGGAAGAGAACAACAGGACGCCCAAGAGGCAUCUGGACAGCACACAGCA